AAUUCUCAAACCCCCACUUGGUUUCUUGACCAAAGACGGGUUUGGAUUUUGGAGGGUUUUUGCCGACUUGAAGAAAAGUCAGCUCCUCUUAAAUGCAUUAGUGGGGUCCUCUUUGCAGAUCCUCGGACGUGAUAAGACAUUUCUACGUCUUGGGAUUUGUACUGUUCUUUAGGAACCUGCUUACAACCGUCUCCCAUGAGACAUCGUUCGAGCUUGCUCGACCCACGAA
rnacentral:misc_RNA from 1 species